AUGAACGCUGGCGGCGUGCCUAAUACCUGCAAGUCGAGCGAACAGACGAGGAGCUUGCUCCUCUGACGUUAGCGGCGGACGGGUGAGUAACACGUGGAUAACCUACCUAUAAGACUGGGAUAACUUCGGGAAACCGGAGCUAAUACCGGAUAACAUGUUGAACCGCAUGGUUCAACAGUGAAAGACGGUUUUGCUGUCACUUAUAGAUGGAUCCGCGUCGCAUUAGCUAGUUGGUAAGGUAACGGCUUACCAAGGCAACGAUGCGUAGCCGACCUGAGAGGGUGAUCGGCCACACUGGAACUGAGACACGGUCCAGACUCCUACGGGAGGCAGCAGUAGGGAAUCUUCCGCAAUGGGCGAAAGCCUGACGGAGCAACGCCGCGUGAGUGAAGAAGGUCUUCGGAUCGUAAAACUCUGUUAUUAGGGAAGAACAAAUGUGUAAGUAACUAUGCACGUCUUGACGGUACCUAAUCAGAAAGCCACGGCUAACUACGUG
rnacentral:rRNA from 1 species